UCCACUUCAGUGUAGAUGAAGGGGAGGAGACGGGUUAAAGAAGGAUUUAAAAGCCUUGAGACAAUUGAGACAUGGAUUGUGUAUAUGUGCCAUUCAGAGGGUGAAUGGGUAAGACAAUAUAUUGAAGUGCCUUUGAACAGGGUAUGGUAGUAGGUGCCUUUGAACAGGGUAUGGUAGUAGGUGCCUUUGAACAGGGUGUGGUAGUAGGUGCCUUUGAACAGGGUGUGGUAGUAGGUGCCUUUGAACCGGGUGUGGCAGUAGGUGCCUUUGAACCGGGUAUGGUAGUAGGUGCCUUUGAACAGGGUGUGGCAGUAGGUGCCUUUGAACCGGGUGUGGCAGUAGGUGCCUUUGAACCGGGUGUGGCAGUAGGUGCCUUUGAACCGGGUGUGGCAGUAGGUGCCUUUGAACCGGGUGUGGCAGUAGGUGCCUUUGAACCGGGUGUGGCAGUAGGUGCCUUUGAACAGGGUGUGGUAGUAGGUGCCCUGGUUUGUGUAGAGAACUGCACCGUUGCUGGGUUUUUCAAGCUCAACAGCUCCUGGUGUUUAGACUAGUCCACCACCCAAAGGACAUCAGCCAACUGGACACGAAUGAACUGUGGGAAGCGUUGGAGUCAACAUGGCCCAACAUCCCUGUAGGACGCUUUCGACACCUUGUAGAGUCCGUGCCCCGAAGAAUUGAGGUUCUGAAGGCAAAAGGAUGGGGGGGAUCAUGGCUUUACUAGAGCCCAGAGUUAUCCCUGACUAGAGCCCAGAGUUAUCCCUGACUAGAGCCCAGAGUUAUCCCUGACUAGAGCCCAGAGUUAUCCCUGACUAGAGCCCAGAGUUGUCCCUGACUAGAGCCCAGAGUUGUCCCUGACUAGAGCCCAGAGUUGUCCCUGACUAGAGCCCAGAGUUGUCCCUGACUAGAGCCCAGAGUUGUCCCGGACCAGAACUCCUGGCCCUGCAUAUUCUCACACCUAGAGAGCAUAGUGUUCUCCAUCAGCCUUGUCACUGUUUAUUGACAACCUCGACCUGAAACACCAUUAUUAUUAUUAUUAAUGUUGCUAGACCUCAACAUUGUCACUAAGGACGUGGUCUCACAUGGACGGGUUGACUUA